rnacentral:misc_RNA from 1 species
UCUCCGUAGGUGAACCUGCGGAGGGAUCAUUACAGAGUUCUCGCCCUCGCGGGCAGAUCUCCCACCCACUGUUAUCGUUACUGUGUUGCUUUGGCGGGCCGCCGGGCCCCGCUCGGCCGCCGGCUCCGGCUGGCGCGCGCCCGCCAGAGGCCCAGCAAACUCUGAAUGUUAGUGUCGUCUGAGUACUAUAUAAUAGUUAAAACUUUCAACAACGGAUCUCUUGGUUCUG